UAAGCCCAUCUAACAAAACUCUCAAACUCAACCACUAAACCCUAAACCUCUCUUUUUUUUCUCUCUCAUCUCGAAAACAGUAUCCAAAUCACAAUCCUUCUUCCUUCUCUCAAAACCAAUUUCUUCGAUCAAUUAUCAUUUCAAUGGCGUCAAAAUGCAGUAGAUUUAUUAACAGAGCUUCACUUUCUUCCUUGAAAUCCUCCAUUAAAUCUUCCACUUCUGCUCCAAGGUCUACUGCAGCUCCUCUUCCUAGAUCCACAUCUUCAUCUCUUCCUCGAUUCAGUUUCUCAAGAUUGCCGAAAGAGUUAGGAGGAGUGCAGUCGUUAAUGCCGUUGCACAGCACAGUUUCAUCGGCGAGGAUGACGUCAUGCUUGAGUACGACGUCGAGGAGUUCCAGAGCUCUUUCUCAGGGUACACUCUGCCGUACCUCUCCCGACCUCUAAUAUUCACUUCUUGUUUUUAGGCACAUAAUAUCACUAUGCUUGAAAGAAAUAAUAUGGGUCCUGGCCUCCUGGGACUUGCCAACCAUGAACCCUGCGUCAUUCUCAAAUGAAAUUGAUGGUACGUGAGAGGUUUGGAGGUUGCUCAUUUCACCAGUGCUUCCAUGUUCCCUAGUUAUAAUGAUAUUGAAACGUUGAUAUAGUGUCGGAUCCGAAGUCAUUUUUGUACAUUCUUUGGGAGCAAAUCUGUAGCAGUGCAGAAGGAACUUGUCUUUUCUUAUUUUUCUUUAUGACAAACAGUUUAUUGGUUUUCAAAGUAAGAAACCAACAUGUUCAAGCAUAAAAGCACAUUAAACUGCUACUUCUCAUAGCAUUUUCUGAUUGAAAUUUAUUUUCUGUUUGCUCUAGAGCUUGGUCUGUCCGUACCCAGGUGACUGUUAGCAGUUCAUCGCUAAUACAAGAAGCUGUCUCACUCUUCAUGUGAUUGGAAACACAAGUUUUUGCUACCAAAAAGUGAAAUGUAAAAUGUACAAAUUCUCUAAUUAACAUUAUUGAGCUUCUUUGCUGGUUAUACAUUGGAUUUGAAGGUAUUUGUUUUGGAAAUUGAAUUGGUGGAAUAAUGUUUCAUUUUUGCAUCGUUGCCUA